AAUUCUCAAUCUCUCCAACUUUGUGUUGUUUAGAUUGGAUGUGGGGGUUUUUGUGUGGGAUCUAAUCUUCCUCACUCCCCUUAAAUGUAUUAGCCAGAAUGCUUCUGCAAGUCUGACUAUCAGUGUGAUAAUUAUCUAUACUGUAGUUGUUGCAUGAAGGAAUCUGCUUCAUAAACCGUCGAAAGACAAACCCAAUGACCA
rnacentral:misc_RNA from 1 species